rnacentral:RNase_MRP_RNA from 1 species
AGGCUGCAAGACGACGUGAAUGGGCCAAGAUCUAUUCGUAGAUCAGGGUCCAGGAAAGUCCCCGGGCCGUUUCUGCAGGGAUGCAAACUUGGAAACGAGUUAAGCUUCACUAGCUGUGUGAGUCCAUUCCCUUGUGGAUGGGCUGAGACGAGGUGGAGCCUAUGGACUCAAGCCGGAAGCAAUUAAUGGCCGACAUCAACAGUUAUUCACGUGGUCCAGUUUAACUGGGUUGACUGAACGGGGCUUAUGAUCUUGCAGUC